AGCACUGUAUGGUAUCUGCAGCCAGCCGCUACUCCGGAUGGAGAGUCAGUGCAAGAGCAGCUCGGCAUGUGGUAUCGAUGGUCUCCUUGCCUCUUUGUUCCUGGUGUAUCUCUCCAUACAAAC
rfam:Salmo salar isolate Sally breed double haploid chromosome ssa09, whole genome shotgun sequence.